rnacentral:rRNA from 1 species
GAUGAACGCUAGCGAUAGGCUUAACACAUGCAAGUCGAGGGACCGGCGGGUGGGUGAGUAACGCGUAUGCAACUUGCCUCUUAGUGUGGGAUAACCCGGAGAAAUCCGGACUAAUACCGCAUCCUAAGAGAUAGGCAUGCGUUCCAUUAGUUAGUUGGUGAGGUAACGGCUCACCAAGGCAUCGAUGGAUAGGGGAGCUGAGAGGCUGAUCCCCCGCAUUUGGACUGAGAGACAGCCCAAACUCCUACGGGAGGCAGGAGUGAGGAAUACUGGUCAAUGAAGGAUACUCUGAACCAGCCGAGUCGCGUGAAGAAUGACGGUGUUGGGAUUGUAAACUUCUUUAGUAGAAGAGUAGGUAGCCUAAGAAUAAGUAUCGGCUAACUCCGUGCCAGCAGCCGCGGUAAUUC